rnacentral:rRNA from 1 species
UACGUAUGGUGCAAGCGUUAUCCGGAUUUACUGGGUGUAAAGGGAGCGCGGGCGGCGCGUUAAGCCUGGUGUGAAAGCCCGCGGCCCAACCGCGGGACUGCAUUGGGAACUGGCGCGCUGGAGUGCCGGAGGGGUAGGCGGAAUUCCUAGUGUAGCGGUGAAAUGCGUAGAUAUUAGGAGGAACACCAGUGGCGAAGGCGGCCUACUGGACGGUGACUGACGCUGAGGCUCGAAAGCGUGGGGAGCAAACAGG